GGGCGAAAAAUACGGUACUUGCUUGCUCCUCCUCCCAACCUCCCCUGCCCUUUGUGUACGCCGCGUGCCGUGACGUCACGCGGAGGCAUUUGGGUGAGUUCCCACACUUUUUUUCCCAGGACUUGACCCCUGGUCAGUGCAGUUCAGUUA